GCAGGGAUUAUGAUGUAUGACCUCGUUGCUGGAGUUUCAGUGGUAUGCGUCCUGCACUAACUUCUGGUUUUCUGACACUUGUUUUUGUGAUUAAGCAUGAAGCAUGCCUCAUAUAUUUACUCAUUCAUUUAUUACAUUUAGUUAAUAUCUAUCAGCAAUCAGCAUUCAUCUAAUUAGUCUGUUUGAUUAUUGUCCUAUGCAAAUUAUUAAAAGAACUCCGACAAUCUGACAGAUAACUGAAAAUCUUUACUAUCAAACAAUUAUGCUCAUGUAAUUAGUGAAGCCGGAAAUUCUAUUUGAGAUAUGUAAGUCAUAAAAUUAUUAUAUGUACAGUGGCGGAGCUAAAAAUUCAAUUUAGGGGAUCCAAUUAAAUUUAAUUCAUAAAAUUAAUACACACACACACGCACACAAAAGAGAGAUGUGUUGCUAGACUUCCAUUUGAUAAUCUUAUUCAAUAAUUUAAAUUUCAAAGAAUAGAAUUUAGUGAUUACGUUAAAAUAGAAUGGAUGGAGAAAAAGAGGCCAAGAGACAAUGAUGUUUUGGAUUUUCUUUGGCAAAAAAAUUUGUGUUUCACCAUUAUAUCAUUCUUUCAGAAGGGCUGUAAAAAAAAUUAGAGUUUUUUUUUAUAAAAUUACUAAUAAACCCCUACAAAUUUUUAAAAUAUUGGGGCCCAAUGCCCCAUCAAAAUUUGAUAGACAAUUGUGAAAAAUAUUAUUUUUUGAGAAAUUAACAUUAUGUUUAUACCCUAAAAAAUUUUAAAAUGCUUAUUAAAAUUUUAGGGGGGUAUAUGGCAAUAGUAAAAGAUACUGAUUUUUUGAGAAACUACCACUAUACCCCUAAAAAAUUUUGAAAACUCAGGGGGGCCCAGUGUCCCCCUUGGCCCAAUCAUGGCUUCGUCCCUGGUGACCAUCAUUCUUUAUUGAUUUUGUCCUGCCAACUCAUGUAUCGGUGAAAAAAGGGAGCCCUUAGGACCUUAAUUCCUUCAUUGUGAUUUCAAUGGUUUAUCAUUUUGUUGUAUUUCAUUAUCUUCCAUGCCCUUGCAAAGAUAUUAAUCCGCCUUAGGGAUCAUAGUCAAGAAGAGAUUAAGUUCAUGGCUAUAUUUUUUCCUCAUUAGUUGUUACUGGUGCAAGCAAUUUGGUACCAUUUGGUUAUACCUUCCUUUUUUGCUGCUAUGGUGAGAUCUUCACUAUUUUUUGACAAUAGUGUCAAAGUUGAUGGAUUUGUCAAUGGAUUUUACAUGACUUCGAAGAUUUGAUAUUUCUUUAUUUGGAGAAUAUACACUGGUGGCGUCACACGAGGAAUUGAGGACCAGAGCUCCUCCAAAAGAAGUUCUCAAUUUCCUUUCUAACUUUAGGGUUUUGUUUAUGAAACAUGUGAUUUAAUGAGAUGGUAGAGAAUAGAAAAUUGAGUGGCUACGUUUACAUUAGGUGCCUUAUUGGUAGAUUUGUUUUGCAUCUGGUAUUGUGAAGAUGUUCUGCUCUAUUGAGUUGAUUCUUUUGUAGCCUUUUGCAGUGAAGGAUUAUGCAGCCAAAAACAUCCUGAAGAUGGUUCAAUAAGCUUUAAAUGCCUAUAUAAUUACCUUUAGUUUUUCGUUUUUUUUUUUUGAAGAUAAAUCUGGCUGCUUUAAUCUUUUGCACUAAGUUUGUUCAUGCUUGUUCUUUUAUCAAAUUUUCUCAUGUUUUGGAACAUACAUCUCUUGGUGCCUAGUCUUGUCUUGGUACAAACCUUGUCAUUGAUCCAAUUUUGGAAGAGGAAAGCUGUCAG
rnacentral:misc_RNA from 1 species